ensembl:lncRNA
CGGCAACAAGGCCACGGAGAGCUAAAAUAAAUCCCAGACAAGAUGCUAGGUAUUACUGCUCCUUAGGUGAAGACAAGGCAGGAUUUGAUGUGAGGUAUAUUGAUUCGUUUAAAGGUCGCGGUGUGUUCAGCUGUCGGUCAUUUCAAAAGGGAGAUUUUCUUUUUGAGUACAGAGGACAAAUCAUAACUAAAGAGGAACAAGAAAACCGAAUGAAACUUAACCAUGAUGCACUCAAGGUUUUCAUAUUUGAUUUCAAGUUCAAUGGAAAACAGUUAUGGUAUGUAACUGCUUUGAUAAAGGAUAAAAUACAUGAGGUUUACAAAUUAUAAUAUUCAAAUAAUAUUUUGAAUUGAAUAUUAAAAUGUUAUUCAGACGUUCUACAACCUAAUAUACUUAAUGACUUUCUUUACAGAGUGUAAU